CAAACUUUCUGCAUCAGCUCCAACAACAUCUGCAGCCUGCUGCUGGUGGGAUGGGGUGCUCCAGGCUUCAAAAAAUGUGGAGGCAUCUCCCCUAAGUGUCACCCAGCCAUAAGACAGCACAAGCUGUUCCCUGGAGCUUCGUUCCUGUGGAUUAGUUGGAAACCUGGUAAAAGACUUCUCCUUGCCUGCACUUGGAAGCUGCCAGUUUGACAAGCCGCCAGAGCCUGCCUGACAAAAGCAGACCUUUCCACGCUUCCUCCUACAAUUACUUUCCC